rnacentral:rRNA from 1 species
UGCAGUCGACGGUAACGCGGAGAGCUUGCUCUCUGGCGACGAGUGGCGGACGGGUGAGUAACGCGUGGGAAUCUGCCUAGUAGUGGGGGACAACUCGAGGAAACUCGAGCUAAUACCGCAUACGCCCUACGGGGGAAAGCGGGGGAUCUUCGGACCUCGCGCUAUUAGAUGAGCCCGCGUCGGAUUAGCUAGUUAGUGAGGUAAAAGCUCACCAAGGCGACGAUCCGUAGCUGGUCUGAGAGGACGAUCAGCCACACUGGGACUGAGACACGGCCCAGACUCCUACGGGAGGCAGCAGUGGGGAAUAUUGGACAAUGGGGGAAACCCUGAUCCAGCAAUGCCGCGUGUGUGAAGAAGGCCUGCGGGUUGUAAAGCACUUUCAGUGAGGAAGAAAAGCCUGGGGUUAAUACCCCCGAGUCUUGACGUUACUCACAGAAGAAGCACCGGCUAACUCCGUGCCAGCAGCCGCGGUAAUACG